AUCCAGAUGACGAGUCCCAAACAGGACGAAGUACGCAACCUGGAU
rnacentral:hammerhead_ribozyme from 1 species